UCCCCUUGUUAUCUUCCAUGGAGAGUAAGCUACCACAGGAACUACCAUUAGACUUUUUGAAGAAAAUUACUAAUGAUUUCUCCGAGGAGCGGCUAAUUGGUACAGGUCCAGUCGGAUCAGUGUAUAAGGGGAUUUUGGAAGAUGGCAGAGUGAUUGCUGUGAAGAGACUCGGAGAAGAUUCACCUGUGCCUUCUGAAUAAGUAUUUGCGAAUGAGGUUCAAAAUAUUAUGGUUUUGAAGAACGAAAAUAUUGUCAAGUUGGUGGGAUUCUGCCGAGAAGAAAGAAAAGUAAUGGUGAAAAGCAACAGCAGAUUUAUUAUUCAACCUAUCACUGAAACUGUACUCUGCUAUGAAUAUUUUCAGAAGGGAAGCCUUGACAAGCAUAUUUUUGAAAGCAUAGACAGAGUGCUGGGCCGAGAGCUGGUUGAGAUGCAACACGCGGUACGGAUGCCCCACAGACAAGCAUGCGACCUCGAAGUUGGGCGUGGACACGAUAAUGGCGCUGCCAUUGUUGUCCCUAUUGCUGGGGAAGAACUUGGUGAUAGCAUUCCACUCCUCCAUGGUGGACAGGUCUGAUGAUUAUAGUAUGAUAUAAAUAGGUGAGUGAUAUUUGUUAUAAA